rnacentral:rRNA from 1 species
UACGUAGGCAGCAAGCGUUGUUCGGAAUUACUGGGCGUAAAGAGUGUGUAGGCGGUGUCGUAAGUUUGGCGUGAAAUCUCCCGGCUUAACUGGGAGGGUGCGCCGAAGACUGCGGUGCUUGAGGAUCGGAGAGGAGAGUGGAAUUCCUGGUGUAGCGGUGAAAUGCGCAGAUAUCAGGAAGAACACCCGUGGCGAAGACGGCUCUCUGGUAACGUGACUGACGCUGAGACGCGAAAAGCGUGGGGGAGCAAACAGG